AUGCAGAAAGCCAAGGACAGGAAGCCGUGGAUGGGUUGCAACAGGGCUUCCACCAGUCGCUUCGUCAACAUCAAUCAUCCGUGCUGCAAAAGCGGUUGCGAUGGGAAGACUAGACCAAAGAGAUAG
rnacentral:rRNA from 1 species